UCCGAAUUGGUGUAGUGGCUAACAUUUGACGCUCUCAAUUUACAUCUUAAGAAUAAAAUCUUAAGAUUAAAAGGUACCGUCAAGCCCGGGGUUCGAUUCCCCGAUUCGGAG